rnacentral:tRNA from 1 species
GGGAAUGUAGCUCAGUGGUAGAGCGCUCGUUCUGCAUGCAAGAGACCCUGCAUUUGAUCCGCAGCAACUCCA